ACCACAGCAGCUGGAGGUGGAGCAGAUGAUGGAGUUCUGGUCCAAAAUCAAACCGAGUCUACCGGACCAUCAGGGACAAAAACACCAAGCCGUUCUCGUUUAAAAGCUCGUUUCCACGUGACGCCGGUACUGAAGACCAACAACCACCCACUGAUUGAAAACUCAAGUUUUCUCUUUAACAGACAUAUUUCCUGCCACACAAACUUGAAUUUCACCACCUCCUGUUGACUUCUUUAACAUCCGUCACGUCUCUGACAAGUUGUUGUGGAAGUUGCUUUUACCCCCGCGGAUCCGUGUUUUCAUACUGCCCCGGUGGCUCUUGCAUCACUUAUUACCACUUGAAAAAUCGCUGAGAGAGAGAGAGGUGGAGAAUGAGGAAGAGGAGGGGUGGAGCGCUGCAUCUCUUCAUCGCAGGAUUUUAUGUGACUGUUUGGACAGAUUGGUAGAAUUGAAAAUGCAGCCGGGUGAUGUGUGAUGUGGCAAUAAAGCGUUUGCUUUGAUCCCGCCUCACAUGCGCGCGUCGCAAUCAAUUAGGAGCGACCGCGCAGCAAACCUUUGCAUCACCUUCGUUUACCAACGCCCUGGUUAUUAUUCUCACUGUCAACUCGUUGUGUACGCCUUCACCUGCGUACACAACAAACUUGAGGAUGAACUGGUACACAAAUAGAAGCUACAUCUUAGCCGUCAGAAACAUGCUUACAUCCUCGCCGCAGCUGUCAAUUACCUACAAAAAAACGUCUUUGAUAAGGAAAAUCUGAAGCCCCCUGUUCCCCACCUCCCUGCUCUUGGAGUGGCUUUUUCAGAUGUCAUAGCACUUAUGAGAAAUUUGUGACAGCAUCAACAGCGCCUAUUCCCCAUUCAGCAGCAUUAACUCUGUGCCAUGUGUCUAACAAACGGAGGCCAUUCUGGAGCCCUUAAUGACAAGGCUGCUUCGCUCCUCUCCUCUCCCCCUCGCUCUUUUCAAAUUGCUCUCUAAAUGAAGUACAGCUGUGCGGACCAGGUGCUGCCAUCCCCCUUUUCAGAAAGAACAGGAAAUUAUGAAAUCCCCAAAUCCUUCACAAAUGGCGGGCAGGAGGGAAGGUUGGAGCGCGACGGCUCGGCUUGGUCUGUAGAUGCGUCUAUUUCCUCGAACUCGUCACUUAGCGCUGUUGGGUCGCACAACAAGACGCGCCUCAUGACUUCGAGCAGCUAAAGUAUUUUUGUUUCUAGACUAGAGUAACUUUUCAGCAGGAUCUCGACUCUUUGCAGGUGAUUUACGCUCCUCAGAAAGCGGUUCACUCCGCAGCUCCUGUUGGUCGCCUUAUUCUGUGGAUUUCAUUGCAGAAAUAAUCACAGGGAUGAAGAUACAAACCAAACUUGUCGUUUGUUGUGAAUCUUUUGGUGAAGAAGGACAAAUGUCCAUGAUGGCGGUCGUGUUAUGCAUUUUUCUGAGUCCUGGAUCGUUUUGACGGAUCUUGUUUUUCUUUAACAUGAAUAAAUCAUGCCAAGUCAGUAAUACUUGGCAUGAUUUUGUGUUUUUGCAGUAUGAAUGUUGUUUUUGGUUAUGUUUUGAAGGGAUUCAGUAAUUUGAACACAUUUCUUUGAGGUUAAAUAAAAACCAAGAACUCGUCGACCUUGCAGUCCAGUUUUCUCACCUCUUGCCCUAAAAUGCGCGGCGCCAACCGAACCCGUCCAACAUUUAGAGCUCUGUGUUUGUUUUCUGCAUUCUAGACAACAGAAAGAGCUCAACUGCUGAAGUAGGCCUCCUGCUCAAGAGACUGUCAAUGCACAGCUGUCAAUGUCUCCAUAAAGCCCCAUAUCCAUAAUAGACAAAGCCCUCAUCAAGCCUCAGCUUCAUCUGGCCUCCCAGAUGCCCCAUCACCGGGGGCAAAUCCCAUCCAGGCCCGCGCGGCGCACCACGCAGCCAGAUGUGAGCUGGCAACAUGGCCGUGGGGUCAACACAUGGCAAAGUUUCCUGCCUCCUCCACCUCCUUCUCCUCUUUUUUGCUCCUGGCGUCGCUGAAGAGGAGCAACCAGCGCCGUUUUCUUCCUCAGGACUGUCCUCCUCAUGCUGAACACAGAUGGUUAUUAUGGAGCUGCACAUAAAUUGAUUAUGUUGGAAAUUAACUGUUGCUGUCAAAGGCAGCCGCCAACCUGUCCCAGUGUGUCCCUGUGCCCGCUGAUGCAUAGGAUCCAGCUGAUGGACCAGAUGUUUGCACAGUGCGCCUCUCUUUUUAAGGUCAGCACAAAAGUGGUAUGGGGCCUCUCUGAUCUCUGUGUCUUUGUACUUUCUGUCAGUGUCCUCCUGACAUUUUGAGAGUAAAAUGGAUGUUUUUGAACAUUUUGAU